GUAACCUUUAUGAGCUAGAUAUUAUAAAAGUGUUUACAGUUAACUCUCUCAACACUUGCAACAAAAAAUGCAAAAAUAAAAUGAGAGUUUACAUUGUGAAACAUGCUACGAAGCACUAAUCUAAUAUUUUUUAUGAAUGCAAGAAAGGGGAUUGAUUACAAUUAAUUUUUCAUUGCUUUGUAGGAUGGCAUGUUUUGGCCAUAUAAACUCAUGAACAUGCUGGUGUAUGAUUGUUCAUGCCAAACAGCUCGUCACAAAAGAAAUAUUUCUGUUGUUGAUGUUAAAGGCACCUUUUGUACUGUUGAGGUACAGUUUUGCUCGUGCUCUCCAGAGUUUGUUCAACUUCUGCAAUUUGGCCUUUGGGGUGGAACACCUACAAAACCAAGAAUUGCAUUUGCAAUUGAGUUUUUUGAAUUGAUUCAUUCUGUGCAGAUGGAAUGCCAGGCAUCAAUAAAAAGCAUUUGUCAGUCAUUUGAAGAGUUUAAUCAUAACCACAUAUUCUCUUCUUAUGCAACAUCAAAAAUGUAUCCUGUCAUUAUAGAUGCUUUUGAAGAAUAUAGAAUUUACAGACAUAAACUAAACAUGUUGAGCUGUGUUAUUCCUGAGCUUGAUGAAGGAAAUUUCUGUCCUACUUGUCCCAAAUGUAUUCCAAAACUGUGGUAAAACAUAUGCCAGGUUAACAACAUUAUCUGAGAUCCAACAUCCAAGUACAAUCUGUUUGUUGUCAACCAGCAUAUGUGGUCACUUGACACCCAUCUGUCAACACAUAACCUGGACAUCUCAUUGGAUGACAAUCCUCGUUCUUUCAUAAUCUCACUAUACGGGGUUCUGUACAAAAGCUUCUGAAAGGCUGUAAUUGAAGCAGCUGAUGGAUGUUCCACCACCGUGUCUGGGUUUGUUCAAUGGUUGUGAAAACCAGGCAUACUCCUCUUCGACUUCUACUUGUAUGCUCUUUAAGGUGUGAAAUUUCUGCAGAUUGGUGAUGCAAUUGAUAUCUAACCUUCCUUGUGAUGUGUUGAUACAUGCUCCUUUGCUUGUACUUGAUGCCUCAACUAUUUUUCUCCAUUGUUGCAACUGGUCCAUACUUGGCAUAGAUGUUACAUGGCAAGGAUCAACAACUGAAUCAUCAUCUGUACUGCAAUUUACACCUUUGGUAAACCAUUUCUCAAUCUUUGGCAACAAAGACUCAAAAGCCUGACCUCUAGUUAGUUUGCUCAGUACGGGCUCUAUCUUUGUUGAAGCUUUUUUGAGAGACAAAACCUCCAAAUAAAUUAUGUACAUAUAAUUAACAAAACUAAUUUCCAUUUCUAUAUUAUGAAUUUUUAAUGCAGACUUUAAUCCUAUGUCAUGUCAGGGCCUAUAUUCUUGUUGCCUUGCACCCUCAUCCCCAUUGCACUGCAAAGGUCUGAACUAAAUAACCUAAAUACCUGCAUAAAAUUUGCAAGUAGUGCAAUGCAGUGGAAGUUCCGGGGUAAGUCAGAAUAUGUUUAUGUGUAGUAGCUUAUUAUAAAUUUAAAAUACUAUAAUAACAACACUGCUGAUAUUGUUAUAAUUAUUACCAAUUAUUUCCAAAAUAUUGCCUAUACGGCAGUUGUCAAGAAGUUUCAUGUAUUCUGACUUACUCUGCAGCGAAAGUAGUGUUUGCAAUUCAGUUAAUGUAUGUGCAUAUGCUUAGUGUGAUGAAGCAAUUAAACUUGCAAUACCUUCGUAUUGUUAUUCCACAUACCGCUUUUCACGAAUAAUAAAGAACUUAAAACGUUAA